GCCGGUGUAGAGGAGUCAGGCCGUCCUCGCUUCCCUGUCAAGGAAGAAAUCGCGGGUUCGAAUCCCGUCACGGGCG
rnacentral:tRNA from 1 species